rnacentral:rRNA from 1 species
CCUACGGGGGGCUGCAGUGGGGAAUAUUGCACAAUGGGCGCAAGCCUGAUGCAGCCAUGCCGCGUGUGUGAAGAAGGCCUUCGGGUUGUAAAGCACUUUCAGCGGGGAGGAAGGCGGUGAGGUUAAUAACCUCAUCGAUUGACGUUACCCGCAGAAGAAGCACCGGCUAACUCCGUGCCAGCAGCCGCGGUAAUACGGAGGGUGCAAGCGUUAAUCGGAAUUACUGGGCGUAAAGCGCACGCAGGCGGUCUGUCAAGUCGGAUGUGAAAUCCCCGGGCUCAACCUGGGAACUGCAUUCGAAACUGGCAGGCUAGAGUCUUGUAGAGGGGGGUAGAAUUCCAGGUGUAGCGGUGAAAUGCGUAGAGAUCUGGAGGAAUACCGGUGGCGAAGGCGGCCCCCUGGACAAAGACUGACGCUCAGGUGCGAAAGCGUGGGGAGCAAACAGGGUUAGAUACCCUGGUAGUC